GACGAACGCUGGCGGCGUGCUUAACACAUGCAAGUCGAACGAUGAACCCGGAGCUUGCUCUGGGGGAUUAGUGGCGAACGGGUGAGUAACACGUGAGUAACCUGCCCUGGACUCUGGGAUAAGCGUUGGAAACGACGUCUAAUACCGGAUAGGACCUUGGAUCGCAUGAUCUGGGGUGGAAAGUUUUUUCGGUCUGGGAUGGACUCGCGGCCUAUCAGCUUGUUGGUGAGGUAAUGGCUCACCAAGGCGUCGACGGGUAGCCGGCCUGAGAGGGUGACCGGCCACACUGGGACUGAGACACGGACCAGACGCCUACGGGAGGCAGCAGUGGGGAAUAUUGCACAAUGGGCGAAAGCCUGAUGCAGCAACGCCGCGUGCGGGAUGACGGCCUUCGGGUUGUAAACCGCUUUUAGUAGGGAAGAAGGGCUUCGGCUUGACGGUACCUGCAGAAAAAGGACCGGCUAACUACGUG
rnacentral:rRNA from 1 species